ACGAACGCUGGCGGCGUGCUUAACACAUGCAAGUCGAACGGAAAGGCCCUGCUUUUGUGGGGUGCUCGAGUGGCGAACGGGUGAGUAACACGUGAGUAACCUGCCCUUGACUUUGGGAUAACUUCAGGAAACUGGGGCUAAUACCGGAUAGGAGCUCCUGCUGCAUGGUGGGGGUUGGAAAGUUUCGGCGGUUGGGGAUGGAUUCGCGGCUUAUCAGCUUGUUGGUGGGGUAGUGGCUUACCAAGGCUUUGACGGGUAGCCGGCCUGAGAGGGUGACCGGCCACAUUGGGACUGAGAUACGGCCCAGACUCCUACGGGAGGCAGCAGUGGGGAAUAUUGCACAAUGGGCGGAAGCCUGAUGCAGCAACGCCGCGUGCGGGAUGACGGCCUUCGGGUUGUAAACCGCUUUCGCCUGUGACGAAGCGUGAGUGACGGUAAUGGGUAAAGAAGCACCGGCUAACUACGUG
rnacentral:rRNA from 1 species